AUGUUUGAAGCCAAGAAGCUUCUUGCACGCCUUGAAGAUGUGACCCCGCUUCUUCUUCUUCCUCUCCUUGCCGAUCUCGUCGCUGCUCGCCGCGGCGUCUCCCUGCACCUCCGGCUCUACGGCCUCCGCCACCUGAUGCUUCUUCUGCUCGUCGACCUCCUCGGGCGCCUCGGCGUCGUCGUCGCCGUCUUCCAGGCCGUCGUGGAUCCGCCAGUACCCCUCCGAGAGGCUGGACGCCGGCUGCCUCCGCAUGGAGAAGGCCCGCCUCACGACCGCCUGGAAGCCGCCGCCGCGGUGGCCGCCGGUGGACUUGCUCCGCUCCACGGCCGCGAACCUCUGGGAGGCGGACGAGAGGUUCCUGACCAUGGCCGCCGCGCCGACCGCCGCCCCCUCCCACUUGCCCUCCUUCGCCGUCGCCGGGGGCCGGGCUGGCUCCGGCUCCCCGCCGCUGGGCGCCGGAGGGGACGAGGCGAGGUUGCGGUAGCCGUUCAUCCUCCCGCUUCAGUUACCGCCGCUGCUGCUACGAGUGUACUGAUCUGCGGGCGUGGGGCUGGUGGCGAGGAGGUUCUCAGGUCUGGGAUUUGUACUCGCGUGCGAGGUGGAGUGGAUGCGGCGCGUGCGCGGUGCUCGUCACUCGUCAGCAGCGGCACUGCGGCAGUGGAGAAUGAGAACGGAGGAAGUAGUGCUGUGAGUGUGAGAUCAGCCGCUCCGGCCUUGUGUUGUCGCGGUGUUGUGUUGGGUUGGGUUUGGGGCGAUUGGGGCCCCGCGGGAGCGUCCAAUUUGACCACCACGUCAGGGCUCCGGCCACGGGGUUUCGUGACGCCAAUUCGCAUCCACGGGAAUUGCUACGCUACAAUCCAGUGCAUAUGGAUUCUUUGUCGCCUUGACAUGACGUGUUACCAACCAAACUGUCACCCUCUUAUCUGGCAUGAAUUCAGGCGCUUGAACGAGCGUGCACUCUCUCCCUGGUGCAAGUUCAACCGACUCACUAUCCUACUCUGCAUUAGAAAAUACUGA
rnacentral:rRNA from 1 species